rnacentral:misc_RNA from 1 species
GAUGAAGAACGCAGCGAAAUGCGAUAAGUAAUGUGAAUUGCAGAAUUCAGUGAAUCAUCGAAUCUUUGAACGCACCUUGCGCUCUUUGGUAUUCCGAAGAGCAUGCCUGUUUGAGUGUUAUGAAAAUAUCAACCUUGACUUGGGUUUUGUGCUCUAGUCUCGGCUUGGAAUUGGGUGCUUGCCGCUUUUACGAGCGGCUCACCUUAAAUGUAUUAGCUGGAUCUGUCUUUGAGACUUGGUUUGACUUGGCGUAAUAAGUAUUUCGCUAAGGACAUUCUUCGGAGUGGCCUCGUUUCUAGGACGCUUGUCCGCUUUCCAAUACAAGUUCCACCUCGUGGACAUGACUUUUUAUUAUCUGGCCUCAAAUCAGGUAGGACUACCCGCUGAACUUAAGCAUAUCAAUAAGCGGAGGA